rnacentral:rRNA from 1 species
UAGGGAAUCUUCCGCAAUGGGCGAAAGCCUGACGGAGCAACGCCGCGUGAGUGAUGAAGGUCUUCGGAUCGUAAAACUCUGUUAUUAGGGAAGAACAAAUGUGUAAGUAACUAUGCACGUCUUGACGGUACCUAAUCAGAAAGCCACGGCUAACUACGUGCCAGCAGCCGCGGUAAUACGUAGGUGGCAAGCGUUAUCCGGAAUUAUUGGGCGUAAAGCGUGCGUAGGCGGUUUUUUAAGUCUGAUGUGAAAGCCCACGGCUCAACCGUGGAGGGUCAUUGGAAACUGGAAAACUUGAGUGCAGAAGAGGAAAGUGGAAUUCCAUGUGUAGCGGUGAAAUGCGCAGAGAUAUGGAGGAACACCAGUGGCGAAGGCGACUUUCUGGUCUGUAACUGACGCUGAUGUGCGAAAGCGUGGGGAUCAAACAGG